GAAGUAAAAGUCUAACAAGGUUUCCGUAGGUGAACCUGCGGAAGGAUCAUUAUUGUAUAACCGAGGUGCGAGGGCUGUCGCUGACCCGAAAGGUCGUGCACGCCCGAGUGCCCUCACACACAUCCAUCUCACCCCUAUGUGCACCACCGCGUGGGUCCCCCUUUGGCUUGUUCGGAGGGGGGCUUACGUUUUCACACAAACUUUGUAUGCAGUGUAGAAUGUAUUUUUUGUUUUUGCGAUCACGCAAUCAAUACAACUUCCAACAACGGAUCUCUUGGCUCUC
rnacentral:misc_RNA from 1 species